CAUUCACUUCAUUUUUUUUGUUAAAUCAAUGAUGUUAUCUUACUGUACUUUCAUCAACAUGUCGUUCUCUGCUGACUGCUAUGGAGAACAUUUUGCUACAUUUCUACUUCAUUCGAUUGUGUGUGUACAGUUAUAUAGUUUUCUUUUCUUUGAUUUCCAUGAUAAAUACUUGGAUUUGGCAAGAGAGGGAGUGUAAGUGAUGUGUUUAUUUGACAAGAAAUGAUUGGUUUAAUGGAUCAUUCUGAGCAAGUAUAGGGUGAUUGAUGAGGAUAUGGUAGGAUAUAGCCGGUGGACAAAUCUUGUGACAACUAUGUCAGUUGGUUUUAAUGUUGGCUUGUUGUCUGUCUGAACUACUUCGCAGUUGGUCAAUAACUAUGAUGAAAAUUAUUAAAUAGUUUAGAUUCAAGACCUUUUGGAUUGGAGCCCUGCUCUUCGUUUCUACAUUUGGUUUUUGCUUGUCUCCUAUUAUUUGGCUUUUCUUUAGUGUACAGGGUAUUUUCCAUCAUAAAAAAGAUAAGUUUAUAAACUAGUCCCUGAACUUUUGGUUCUUAAACUUUCUAACUAUCUAAUAGGUUCUCAAACAUUUUAUUUUGGAUCCAGCUGGUCCUUAAAAACUCAAAAUUUUAUCAAUUCUAGGUUCUCGUGACAUCAUAUGUAAUUGAGAACUAGACUAACCUCAAAAUCCACAGUAGCCUAAAAUUGAAGGACUAAGUUUGUAAUUUCACCAAAAAAAACAACAAUAAUAAUAGUAAAACGAAUGUUUGGUACUUGUAUACUUUGUUAGACAUGGAGAGGUUUCCUUCCCCUUUGAGCUGACAUAAUACUUCUGACUGUUCACUUAUGGUUUUUUUCUGGACUUCAUUUUUGAGAACUUGAAAUAAGUAGGUUUUAUUAUCAGGAAUUUAUUGCUUUUUCUAGACGUUUUGAAAUCGGGAUAUAGUGGAUACGGCUGAUGAACAAAGCUAAGAAGUGUCAAUGUGGAUUUGAAAAGUGCUAAGUUUUCCACCUUAUUCAAGCAGGGGGAUCUCCUUUCCCUAUAUGCAUACAUAUAUUGAAGCUUAUGUGGGUUUGUUUGUUGUCUUAUCACUAAGAUGGAAAUGGUAGACUGAUGUGGCACCAGCUUAAGAUUAGAUUCGGUUUUAGAUGCAACUGUGUAAGCUUCACAGCAGAUAUUAAAGAUGAGACUAAGCUGAUAUCAGAAGAUUCAGAACUUGUCUGAUGAUUCGUAUGCUUUAUUGUUGAAAGAUCAGGCUGAAGAUUGUUAGUGUUGGAUAAAGGUUUAAGCUAUCAGGUUGAAGAGAUCAGCAAUUUAUACAUACACCACAAGCCUGGUUACAGAUUUUGAAGAAUUGACUUGAUAAAUUUCAUUUGGAAAGUGGUUUGUACCAUGAUACUAACAAAUCAAGUUUCAAUGUAGCGUAGCUGCUUAACCAUAAUAAGAAUGGUCAUCAGUUUCUAUUCUUGAAGUUAAAAGGUAAUAGAUGGGUGGUUGGUUGCUUCAGCCGAUGACUGAUAUCAACAUGUUGAUACUCAUCAAGGAUUAGAAAUAAGAUAUUGGCAUAUAGGCUAAUCUGCAAGUUGAUCCUUUUAUGGAUUGAGGAAAUACCAUAUGCGCCAUAUAGGCCACAUACUCAAGAUUUCUGAUGCUCAUAUGUAAUGAUAUUUGGAAAGAAAGAACUGUGAGUUCUCUGUUAGAAUUUGAGCAGCUUUUUAUAGUGUGAAAAUUGGUUGAAUAUGGAAGCUUUGCAAUCGACCAAUGGAUCUCAUGAUGAGAGAUCUAAGUAUAUUUCUUACUUGUGGAAUAGUACUACCAUGGAUUUGAAACUCAAAUUUUUAAUAUGAGCCUUGAACUUUUAGGUGUUGAACUAGUGUUUUUAGUUCGGCCAGUAUAUUUUUUUAUUAAUGCAUGCUUUCUGUAAUAUUUUAAUGAUACGUGCAAGUCCAGGCUGAGAAACUGAUAUCUUUUGCAAGGUCUUUUUAGUCCAAACAUCAAUAUAUUUAAUAAACUAAUACCAUGUCGAGAGAUACCUCACUUGACCUGAAAAGUGAAAGUACACAUUGGGAAGCUCAAGCUAUUUUACAGAGAAGCUAACAUAUUUGGAGAAUUUGAAGUUGCACAUUGAGAAUAGUUCGACAGAGUAAUCUUUAUAUCAACAAGAAUCUAGCUAGCAAUGGAGUUGGGAGAACUUUAGGAACUUUGGCAACUUUUUAAAGAAGGUAUGAUUACAGGUUCAUAAAAGUGUGGCAGUGUCUUUGUAUUUAUAUUUCGAGGUUUGAGGGUCGAGCGUCGAAUUUGGGAGUAAAUGGAUUUAGGUGUAUGGUUGAUAGAGAUGAAGGAAUGCAAUUCUCUUGUUUCUUUUCUUCAAUUCAUGUACGAUCAGAAUGAACAUUUGAAGUUUUCAUAUUUUCAUCUUCUAGGUUAAUUUUUUUUUCUUUAUCUAGAAAUAUUUUUCUGCGAGAUAAAUGGCCUUUUUGCCUUUUUGCGUCAUAAGCUUCUACUUUGUCUAAUGUUACACGAAUGUUAUAAGUGUAUUGUAUUGAUCUUUGGAUUGUAAUGAACAAUUUGUUUAUUGAUUAAUUUUCUUUUAAA